UACGGGGGGAGCAAGCGUUGUUCGGAUUUACUGGGCGUAAAGGGCGCGUAGGCGGCCACCGCAAGUCAGUUGUGAAGCUCUGGGCUUAACCCAGAAAGGUCAGCUGAUACGUGCGGGCUAGAGUGCAGAAGGGGGCAACUGGAAUUCUCGGUGUAGCGGUGAAAUGCGUAGAUAUCGAGAGGAACACCUGCGGCGAAGGCGGGUUGCUGGGCUGACACUGACGCUGACAGCGCGAAAGCUAGGGGAGCGAACGGG
rnacentral:rRNA from 1 species